rnacentral:lncRNA from 1 species
CUCUUUGGUGUUAUAAAACCACACUUCUCACUAUCAUACAUCUCAAAUGCUUCUCUCAAAUCCUUCAACUUUUGUUCCUCUCCACCUUCUUCCAUCAAAGCAAUUAAUUCCUCCAAACUCAAAUAACCAUCACCAUCUGAAUCCAUUGCUUCAAUAGCCAUUUCAGCUUCUUUCAAUAAAAUCUCUUCUCCCAUUAUUCUUAGCCUUUGUCUUAGCUCUGCUGGUGAAACCUUUCCAUCACCAUCUUCGUCAAAAUAUCUAAGAACAUGCUCGAAUCCCGCAUUCUUCAUCUCUUAUAAUCCCUGAAGAGACCAAUCUCCCGAGUUGGACCUGAAGAGACUAAUCUCCCGAACCGAAUAGAAUUAGGAUGACUGACAAAGUUCUACUCAAGAGUUUAUAACUGAAGUUGUAUAUGCAAAUGAUCAAAGUGUAAGAUAGAUAUAAUAUGUAUUAUGAAUAUUUUUGGCUAAGGGUAUCAAAUAUGAAAUAUGAAUUAUCAAGUUGUUUUUGAUGUUAAAAAUAUGAAUCUAGCUUCCUGUAUAUAUAUAGAUACGGUUUGAUGUCGGUUUGUUGUAUACUAGCGUGUUGUAGUUGGGUUGAAGAUGAAGUUACUAGAUAAAUAAAUAAAUACGAAGUUGCCAGGAAUGUUCCGAAUGAUGUACGUUUUAAUGUAAAUUGGCUUAUGGAGGCCACGCAAUAUAUGUAAUGUGUCACGCUAUUAAGUCAAUAAAUAACUGUAACUUGUUAUUGCAUCCGUGUGGGAAAAGUGACGACAAGAUUGGAAUCGUGACCCUAUAAUAGUUCAACCGUGUUCCUUAAUUUGCCGUACUAGUUUAUUAAAUUCAAUGACAAAAACAACCUAUGUUAUAGAGUUAGGUACCGUUUGGCCAGAUUUUUUUCGGUCUAAAAACUACUCUAAAACAAAGUUAAAAUAAAGCUCUUUAAGAAAAAGACUAAAGCUGUUUGGUUUCUUUAUUUUUUUUAGUUCUAAAGUUAUUUUUGAGUUAAAAGCUGUUUGACAAAAUAUUGUAUAAAACUUUGAAUUUAUUAUUUUUUGGUGGUGUCUGGGGUUCGAACUCGGGACCUUGCAUAUAUUUAUGCAUUGUCUAUAAAUAAAAAAAACUUUGAAUUCAUUAUGAAUUAACAUAAUAAAUAAAAAAAUGUCUAAAAUAUUUUUUGAAGGGAAAAAAUGUUUAAAAUAUAAAAGAUAUAUUUUUACCAAUACUAUAUUUACUCAAUGACGUUUAUUUUGUGUAACAUGAGUACAAAUUUGUACAAUAUCUUUUCCAAUUAUACUUUAUAACAAAUUUUGUUAUAAGAAUACCAUAUUUUUAGUGUUGGUCAAAAAGAUAAGAAUUUAUAUUAUAUAAUAUUAUAUUUGUUACAUUGCUGGUGUCAUUGAAAAAGAUAUGUUUAAUUUUUUUAAUAAGAAAAAGAUAUGCGUAGUUUGUUACAAUACAAAUGUGUAAAUUAUAUAUAAGUAUAAUUUUUUUAGGCAACUACACUUGUACUUUUAAUUAAAAUCAAAAUUUUAUAAAAAUAAUUAUACGCAUUACACAACACUAACAAAAAUUAUACGCAUUAGCAUAACAAAAAAAAAAACAGAAAGAGGAACAUAAAAUAUUACUCUAAACGCUAACCUGUGUGUAUUUCCGUGGUUGAAGAAAGGGAAUAAAAAUAUUCGGUGUCAUUCAUUGACAGCGUGAAUACAAAUAUUUGCGAGGUUGUGAUGAUCAAAUGAUAUUGAAAUUAAUAUAUAAGUGAUAAAAAGAUAAUAAAAUUCCUUAAAAAAAUAGAUAAUAAACUUAAAUGGAACCUCAUUAAAAAAUUAAAUGGACCGGUUAAAAAAAAUAAAAAAAAAUAAAAUGGAAGAAAAAAGCAUAUUGAAAAAAUAAGGCUUAAUUGCACUUUUGGACCCCUAACUAAUUUAAAUACAAAACAGCCCUCUAUGUUUUGAUUCUUUGGCAGUUUUGGACCCCCAGUCCAUUGUUGACUCGGUCAACGCUGACGUGGCACCCUAAGUGAGGUGCCACGUGUCAAAUUUUUUAUGUUUUUUUUGCCUUGGGAGUCCAAAACUGCUAAAAAAUCAAAACAUAGGGGGCUGUUUUGUAUUUAAAUUAGUUAGGGGUCUAUAACCGCAACUUUUGGAAAGAUAGGGGGCCAAAAUUGCAAUUAAGCCAAAAAAUAAAACAAAAGGUUGCCGGCGGGAGUUGAAGAGAGGUGCUUGUGAAAUAAAUUGGGGAGAAAUAGUUUUUUGAAGUAGCAUUCAACAACUUUUGGUUAAAGCUCAUUCCAUUCAAUUUUAUGCAUUCUAAAAAAAGUACUUUUUUUCGAAGGUACUUUAUUGAUAUUGUGUUUGGCCUAACUUCUCCUUAAAAACGUAAAAGCUGAAAAAAAAAAGCCAGGCCAAACGGUACCUUAGUCAUACUUAAACAUAAACAUAAAUGAAAUGUGCUUUGGCACGUUGACAUAAAUGAAGCAAAAUAAAUGAAAAAAAAAAUUUAGUCAAAUCAUUCAGUUAUUUUUUCUUUUAAUUUUUUUUUAUUCAAGUGCAUGUGUCUAACUACUUUUCGUUUGUCACUAUACUAGAAUUUUUUUAUGUUAAAAUGAAUUUGAUUAUUUAUAAGAAGGAAAAUUCUUAAUUAGGCAUUUGAAUACUAGGUUUGAGCACACAUACAUCAUUAAGAAAAUGUAGAUAGAAAAAAAAAUUAAAUAGUAUAUAUUUUUUAAAAUAAUUAAAUUAAAUAUAUUUUUGUGUGUGGCUGUCUAAAUUAUGUGUCUAAAAGCUUGUGUCCAAGCAAAUCUUUCUCUCAUAAGAUAACUUGCUCGUUAAUUAACACCAUAUUAUAAUGAUUGAAUUUGUAUUAAGUGAAUCCUACGGGCUACGACAUCGAUGUUCAUAGGACAGGAAUUCUUUGUUGGAAUUUUAUUUGAUAACUAAAUUCAUAUAUUUAAAUUAUAACGUAUAUUUACAUAUGCAAUUCAUAAAAAACGUUACACCUUAAGGAUUACUAGAAGAGUAAAUAUAAGACCAUCUCCAAUGGUCUAUUUAAUCUGCCAUUCAAUAGCAUUUUUAUCUCCAAUGAUGUGUUUAACAAGUGUUGAAUGGGGGAAUAGAAGAGAGAGAAGAUGAAUCCAUUCAACUCCAUUUAAUCCUGCCACGCAUGCCACGUGGCGCUUCAAAAUUGGUCAAAAACGGGCGCGUGCAACACACGCGCCGACAGGGCGCGUGAGCGGUCAGAGGUUCGGAGUGAGAAACGGUUUUUGGAUAGAUAAGGACACGUGGCGCGUUCUAAUUGGUUGUCCGAAUUCUUAUCAUUUUAAUAAUUGUACCUCAAUUAUUUCGUUGUAAAUUAAUUUUAAAAAAAAUACCAAAAUUCAUGAUUUUUUUUCCUCUAUAAAUAGAGACUUGGAUCAUUUGAUUUGGACACAGAAAAAAAACCAAGUUUUUCACUAUCUUCAUACCAUCCCCAAUGGUUUUUACCAUUCAACACCACUUUUUCAAUUCCCAACACUCCACAUCAUUUUCUCUCUCUUAUUCAACACUCAAUCAACUUUUACCCUCUCCAAUGGUUUUCAUUCAACACUCUACCCCACCACUUUUUAUUUUUUAUUCUUAUUUAAUUUUUAUUUUUAUAAUUACAUAAAAUUAUCGAUUAUAAUUAAAUUAAAAUAAUACAAUUAACUAUUUAUUUUUUAGUAUUUUUGAAGAAAAAAAAAUUGUAAAAUAAUUUAUUUUUAUUUUCUUAAUUUAAAAUGCAAGUACAACAAACUAAACACGCGGCACACAAAUAACUUAAAAUGCAAUACAACAAACUAAGCAUACAACACACAAGUAAUUUAUUUAGUACGAUACAAAUCAUCUUCAAUCACGAUACAUUCCAAACUUUGUCCAUAUGUGUUUCACUAGAUGCUCUUUUUUCCGGUCAUCAAGAUGCUCUUCAGAACUUAACUUUAGAUACAUUUUCAUUUUCUUCAAUCUGUUUUUCUCCUGUUGCACCUUGGUGUACUCUUUCAAAUGUUCAAUCUCUUGCUCCUUGAUUUCUUUGAAUUGAACCCACUCCUUUUCCACCUCCUCCAAGCCAGCAACGUCCUUACUUUUCUUUAUACCUUUUUUUUUAGCUGCCUCCCUACCCAUUGGACGAGCACUAGAUCCUACAGAGUCCUUGUGAGAUCUCUUAGAUCUACUACUUCCUGACCCAACAUUUCCUCCCAUCUAACUACCAUAACGUGGUUGAUCACGGAGAGCGUGUCAUUCUUCAUUUAAAGUAAAUUGAAUAUUCUUCCCACAUGCAAAUAAUUCCUGCGCUUUUGUCAAAACAUCAUCUUCCGACCAACCGCUUCCUUGCAAACGCUUAGCGCUUUCAUAAGCACCAAUCCAUUUAUUUAUUAUUUUGCUCAUAUAAUUAAAACGGUUUCGGCAUGCAACUAGAUCGCGGGGAGAAUCGAAUGAGCAAUACUCAUUACAAUACUCAACAAUUUUACCCUAAUAUGUUUCUCCUCUCUGGUUUCUCCCGACAACACUGUUUGUUCCAUAUUUAAUCCAUGCACUAAUUAGAACCAAAUUUUGUUGAGUGUUCCAUGCUGGUUCCUUACUUCUCUUGCUCUUAGGAGUUGAAUCUUCUGGAGUGACUUCAUUAGCAACUGCCAUGCCACCAGGAGUUAUUUGUGUUGAAAAUUCAGGAUAUUGAGUUGCACCAACUAGGAAAAUUUUCAUUCUCCAUUGGCAUAUAACCAUUAAACGGGGGUGUUUGAGAUGAAUAUCUCAUCAUAGAUCCAUAAUAUGGAUGAAAGUUUGGAACAGAGGAUGACUGGUUGAAAUUUGGUGGAAAACCAAAAUUAGGUACGUUUUGAUGUAUGUUUUGAGGACGUUGGUUGAAAAAUUGAUUUGGAUUUGGAUAAUUGUUGGGAUUUUCGUAGUUAUAUGGGUAAUUAGAAAAUUUUUGGGUGUUGAAAUGGUUAUUAUUGGGAUCCAUUUCACAAAAAAUAAGAUUAAAACUUCACUUAGUUUGCUAAUAGAAAGAUAAUAAUAAGAGGAUGAUAACUCUUAUUGCUGUCUAGAGGUAGGUUUCUGUACACAAUUAACUGUCUAAUAGGGUAAUAUUGAGAGUAAAGACCUCUCAUUGAAGCUUAAUAGAAUUGUCGAAUUCAUCACGAUCUAUUUAAAAACAGAGACCCAAUCAAAUAAUUCAUCAAUCAAAAGCCGCUCUUCGGGAUCAUUUUGAUUGGUUGAAAGAACUUAAAGAUAAUGUUGUUUUAGAGGGAAUGAUAUACUCGUUGGUACCAUAUUCAAAAUAAUAAUGCACUGUUUACAUUAAUGCUUAAUAACCAUAAAAUACAAUUUAUAUUAAAAAUAAUUUUUAGUUGAUCAUUAUCAAUAUAUAUUUGAUUAAUUAAAUAACUAAUCCAACAUUUCAAUGUGAAUAAUUCAUUUUAGAGAUUAAAAAGGAGAAACUUUUUCCUUAAAAAAAAAGAGAAACUUUUGAUCAACAAAUCAAUGAUUAAUAUUUAAAAUAUCAAAUCCUAGAUUUCUUUUGUACUUUACAAGGGUCACAUUUAUUCAUUUUUAUGGAAAAAAAUAAACGAUGUUCAUUCAUUUAAAUUGAUACAACAAUACAAUAUAAAUUCAAAGUCAUUAAAAAUAAAAAAUGAUGAAUUUAUGAACAAAUACACAAAAUCCAUGUUAAUAGUAUAAAAUGACAAAAUACAUAUGCAUACAAAUAUAAUUAUAUUCAAGUAUCCAGAAUACUCAUGUCUUCGACGUUGAGGAUAUCAAAGUCAUUAAUUUAAUAUGCACUUGAUCAAAACUUAUCCGUUCAACCAAAAUCAAAUAAACACCGCACUAAGACAAAAAAAAACCGCAUAAAGACAGAAAAUCAAAACAAACAGAGUAGCAAUAAAAUAAAGAAAUCACAAAACAAACGAAAGAAAGCUGAAAAUACGUGAAAAUCACUUAUUUUACUAAAAGAAAAAAAAACAAUUAGGGGGAGAUGAUUAUGGUUCAAAAUUAACCCUAAUGCACGUCAAAUAAAAAAAAAAUGGUGAGAACAAGGGUUGGGGGGAAGAAUAGAAGAGAGAGAAAGAGGUCUGCUUUCGUUCUUGUUGAUAACAAUGACUUCAAGUAUACAACAGUGCACUAGGGAUCAUAAUAUAAUGACUUCAAGUCCAAGACUAUUACAAUAUGGUCACAUUAGAAUCUUUGUUGCGGUGUUGAAAAUAGUGUUAUAGUAGUAACGACUCUAACAAAGAUCAAAUAGUAUCACACUGAAUAUUGAUACUUGUUUCAUUCAUUCAGGAUUCAAAUAUUGUUUCUUCAAGUUGUUGGAAUAACCUCUCCCACUAGACCUAAUCUUGUUGAUAAAAUGAGUUGAGUUUACUAAAAAUAAAAUGAGUUUAUAUAUUAUGCAUUGUCUUUACCAACUGAGUUAAUAGAGAUUUUAAACUAUGGCAAAUAAUUUAAUAACAAAUAUGUAGUAUUUAUAAAAGGCAUGUAUCAAAAAAUCAUUUGUGUCGAAAAGAACUUUAUAUUCUGCAUUAAAAAUAUAAAUAUAAAAUUAGAGAUUUCAACUUAUGACACAUGAACUAUAUUUGUAUGUAACAAAAAAUCAAUUAAAUCAACCCAGCUACUCUAUAGAGAAUGUUACACAGAAAUGAAUCAAAACAUAUAUAACAUCAUCACUGCAUCAUUGUUAUGAAUUCAUCAAAGCUAAGCAAACCAUCCCCAUCCAAAUCAAAAUGUUUAAUCAUAGCUUUACAUUCAUCAAUAGACUUAGACUCACCCAUCUUCUUAAGCAUCCUCUUCAAACUCUUUGGUGUUAUAAAACCACACUUCUCACUAUCAUACAUCUCAAAUGCUUCUCUCAAAUCCUUCAACUUUUGUUCCUCUCCACCUUCUUCCAUCAAAGCAAUUAAUUCCUCCAAACUCAAAUAACCAUCACCAUCUGAAUCCAUUGCUUCAAUAGCCAUUUCAGCUUCUUUCAAUAAAAUCUCUUCUCCCAUUAUUCUUAGCCUUUGUCUUAGCUCUGCUGGUGAAACCUUUCCAUCACCAUC